AUGGCGCUGUUCCGCAAGUUCUUCUUCAAGAAGCCGCCCGACGGGGUGCUCCUCAUCACGGACAACAUCUACGUUUUCGAUCAUUGCUUCUCCUUGAAUGCACCGGAAGAGGACCAGUUCGAGGCACACACCAGAGGCAUCGCAGCGCAUCUUCUAGAGGAUUUUCAUGAUCACUCAUUCAUGGUGGCAAACUUCGGGACUCGGGCAGAGGAAAGCCGCUUAUACCACAUUUUAUCCGAGUAUGGCAUGACUGUUUUGGACUACCCGGGCCACUACGAGGGGUGUCCACUUCUCACCAUCGAAAUGGUGCACUGCAUCUUGAAGUCCAGCGAAAGCUGGCUCUCUCUGGGCCAGCAUAACUUACUCAUAAUGCACUGCGAGCAAGGUUGCUGGCCUAUCCUGGCUUUCAUGCUAGCUGCUCUCUUGUUGUACCUGGGGCAGUAUUCAGAUGAGCAGAAAACACUCGAUAUGCUCUACAAACAAUCAUCUUCGGAGUUCUUGGAGAUGUUCUCACCUCUAAAUCCCAUGCCAUCUCAAAUUAGGUACUUGCGGUAUAUUUCGAUGAGGAAUGUCAUGCCUGAGUGGCCGCCCGCUGAUAGAGCCCUCACACUGGAUUGUCUGACUUUGAGGAUGCUUCCUGAUUUCCAAAGUCAAGGUGGUUUUUGUCCAAUAUUCAGGAUAUAUGGUCCAGAUCCACUCAUGCCCCAUGAUCAGACUCCCAAAGUUCUUUUUUCAACCCCCAAAACUAGUAAUCUUGUCCGUUUUAAUUCACAGGCAGAUGAACGGGUGAACAUAAACCUUCAAUGUCAUGUCCAAGGUGACGUUGUCAUAGAGUGUAGCAACUUGUAUGAUGAUCUAGAUCGCGAGGAGAUGGUUAUCUUUUCUGACAUGGAUGCAACUACUUCGCUUGUUACGACAGAGCCUUUGAGUCAUCAAGAUAAACAAGGACUUGGUGUUGAAGAGUUUGCUAAAGUGCUAGAUAUCUUCAACCAUUUGGACUGGUUGGAUGGGGAUACGGAUACUGCACUGGACAGACCCCAGAAAAGGUUCCAGGUUACUUCCCAAGGAAAUAUUAAUGCGUCUCCUCCUGAUGAGCCUGAAACCUUUUUUGAUACUCAAGAAGAACUUGGCUUUGAUAAUUUCUCUGGUGAAAUCAACUCUUCUGCUCAUGUGCUGAAGCUUCAAAAUCACUUUGGUAUGCUUGGCAGCACUGAACUUAAACAAGGCCCCCCACAUUCAAGUCCAACGGAAGUUCCAUCCAAACCACAUAGAAUAGAUUUGGAUCCUUCACGAACAGAGCCUCCUUCGGUGUUGUUUUCACCAUCAGAGGUUACAAAGCCAAAGGCUAGUGCUUCAUCAGUAGCACCAUCUUCAGUUACAGUUACACCCCAGCCUGUAUUUUCACCAGUUCAACCGCAGCCACUGCCAUCUGAUUCUGCUGUGCAAAUUUCAUCAGAGGCAUCAGCGACAAAAUCUGCAGGGAAGCCUGGUUCACAAACUCCAAUACAGCAUGAACCUUCGCCUCUUAUGGUAACUAAAUCAGGAUCAUCAACAUCUUGGAUACCAUCAUGUGCACCUCCUCCGCUUCCUCCCCGACCGGCCACUGUUUCAUUAGCCCCUGUUUCCCCUACCUUACCCAUAAAUACUAGUACAAGUCUGAUCAGUGUUUCCCUUAAAUCAACCAUGCCCUCCCCUUCACCUCCUCCAGAGCCAUCAGCCUUUGCACAAGCUUUUGCAACUGAACAACUGGUUAAAUCACAAGAAUCUUCUUACGAGAUUCUCAAGUCACUGUCUGAUAGUUCUACAGCUUCAGCUUCUUCAGUUUGUAUAGUAAAGGAAUCUAGUACCCCUAAAGCAUCUUCACCGGUGACGUUGCCUGCAAUUCCUCUGACUUCAGACUCAGGGCCCUUAGUAACUCCAGUCACAAGAUCAGAUCCUAACCCAGCAUCGCCGCUCCCACCACCACCACCUCCCCCUCCUCCUAUAAAAGCAGCCACUGUGUAUGAACAGGAGACAAGCAGGAAAGAAAAGGUUGCACCACCUCAGCCUCCACCCCCGCCACCUCCACCAGCACUGCCACGAGCACCUUUUGAAAAUGCUACACAGUCGUUUACUACGUAUGAAAUUUCUUCCCCACCAGUUCGAUCUUCACCACCACCCCCGCCCCCGCCACCACCUCCCUCAGUGUUUGCUGACAAAAAGGUCAGUUCAGCAUCAAAAUAUGCGGUUCCAUCACCUUUGAGCCCCAACUUUUCACAAACAGUUCCAAGGCUGCAAGCACCAACCAUUCCACCACCACCUCCUCCUCCACCUCGAAGUAGCUCGUUGGUUUGUUCAUCUCCAUCCACAAGUGGUAGACAUUUCAUGGCUGCCCCUCAUCCUCCCCCACCUCCCCCACGAUUGCAUACCAUGGCAUCUCAUGUAUCGGCGCCACCUGCACCCCCGUUACUCGUUGCUGCCCCUCAUCCUCCCCCACCUCCCCCGCCAUUGCAUACCAUGUCAUCUCGUGGGUCAGCACCACCUGUACCCCCAUUGCCUCCUCCGAAGCUAGCUGGGGCCAGCAAUGCUUCACAAAAACCAUCAGUAACCCGACCACCGCCACCUCCACCAGGCCCACCUCCUAAGAAUUCCUCAAACUCUUUGCCAAGCAAAGGAACCGUUGCCAGUGCUGCCCCUCCCCCGCCUCCUACAUUAUCAUUUGGUGCAAAGGGCCGCAGCGCAGUCCGGUCAAAAAGCCCUAGAGGUUUGCGUGCCAACCAGCCAUCCAAGAGGACACCUCUGAAGCCAUUACACUGGGUAAAAGUGUCAAGAGCAACACAGGGAAGCUUAUGGGCAGAUACACAGAAGUCUGAUGAAGCAUCUAGGACUCCGGAGAUUGAUCUGUCUGAGCUUGAAAGUCUUUUCUCAGUAUCCAUGCCAAGUACGGAUGCAAAACGGACACGCCAACGUCCUCCUGUUGCAUCAAAACAAGAAAAAGUUCACUUGAUUGACCUCCAGCGUUCAAAGAAUUGUGAAAUUAUGCUGCGGAACAUUAAGAUGCCAUUGCCUGAUUUGAUGGCUUCAGUGCUUACCCUUGAUGAUUCCAUCGUUGAUGGUGAUCAAGUAGAUUAUCUGAUAAAGUUCUGCCCAACUAAGGAAGAAAUGGAACUGCUCAAAAGUUAUACAGGCAGCAAAGAGAAUCUAGGAAAAUGUGAGCAGUUCUUCUUGGAAAUGAUGAAAGUGCCAAGGGUGGAGUCAAAACUGAGAAUCUUAUCCUUUAAGAUAAAGUUUCUUACACAGGUUGCAGACGUGAAAAAUAACCUGAAUACCAUUAAUGAUGUUGCUGAAGAGGUUAGGAACUCUGACAAGCUUAAGCGAGUGAUGCAAACAAUUCUUUCCUUGGGGAAUGCAUUAAACCAAGGAACUGCAAGGGGUUCAGCCGUUGGAUUUAGAUUAGAUAGUCUUCUUAAGCUCAUUGAUAUACGGGCACGAAACAAUAAGAUGACUCUCAUGCAUUAUUUGUGCAAGGUUCUUGCAGGCAAGCUUCCUGAAGUUCUUGAUUUUGUUAAGGAUCUUGCGCAUUUAGAACCCGCCACAAAGAUCCAAUUGAAAGACUUGGCGGAGGAAAUGCAAGCGAUAACUAAGGGACUGGAAAAGGUCGAGCAGGAACUGGCAACAUCUGAAAAAGAUGGUCCAGUGUCUGAGACGUUUUACAAGAAACUGAAGGAAUUUCUGGCUGAUGCCCAAGCUGAAGGGAGGUCAUUAGCUUCGCUUUACAGUACAGCGGGGAAAAGCGCGGACUCUCUAGCACAUUAUUUUGGUGAAGAUCCUGUGCGGUGCCCGUUUGAGCAAGUUGUCUCUACUCUGCUAAGCUUCGUGAAAACCUUCGAGCGGGCCCAUGCCGAGAACCUCAGGCAGGCGGAGGCGGAGAAGAAGAAAGCCCAGAUGGAAGCUGAACGAGAGAAGGCGAAGGCAGCCGCCGCUCACAAGAAGGCGGGGUCGCCGGAGCCAGGAGUUUCCGACCGAUGA
rnacentral:rRNA from 1 species